AUUAAAAUACAUGGCCACCACAGAAGUGAGCUAUAACCCAGGAGGAAUGCAGGCCCGAAUUAGGAAACCUUUGGACAAAACCUUCAGGCUGAAAUGCGCAUUCAUCACGGGGCGCAGAUUCAUCCCAGAGAAAAAUGGCAAAGAUGCUACCAUCCGGACUGUACUACCCAUUUCCCCAAAAGCAGAAACUACUGAAUAGAUUGGUAUAAAUUUGGCAAUUUAAGGAAUUCCACUAUUCCCAAUCUGCAAAACUGCUUGCUUA